GCCAGGUUUCCCAGGAUGCCCUGAGGAGAACCAUCUUCCCUCUGGGGGGAUUAACGAAAGAGUUCGUAAAGAAAAUCGCUGCUGAGAAUAGACUUCAUCAUGUGCUUCAGAAGAAAGAGAGCAUGGGCAUGUGUUUCAUCGGGAAGAGGAAUUUUGAACAUUUCCUUCUUCAGUAUUUGCAGCCUCGACCUGGUCACUUUAUUUCCAUAGAAGACAAUAAGGUUCUGGGAACACAUAAAGAUGUGGCCUCGGCUGAAAUGCUGGAGUUCAUGAAAAGCGCACCUCUGACUUGGAAGGACCAUACUCUGUGAGUUACGUAUCAAGUCCCUGUAAAAACAAUGAUUUCCUUCCUAUGUAAGGAAAAUGGUAAACCACACAAAACUCCACUCUGAUUCAGGGAGUCAGGUGGACGUCCUGGCAUGGUUUGAAUGAUUAAGGACCACAUGCAGUGAUGGGAUCAGGCGUCCGCGCUGGCCGGAGUGCGGCUCACUCAUGUGCUGACCCUUACUGCGGUGAGGCCUGUGUGAGCCUGUGCUGUGCCUGGUGUCGGGGGACCG
rnacentral:sRNA from 1 species